AGAGUUGCCCGGAUCACUGCGUUACUUAAGAGCCUAAUUAACUUUUAAGCACCGAGGAAAGUCCGGACUCCAAAGAGCAAAGUGGUGGAUAACAUCCUCCCGGAGCGAUCCGCGGGAAUAGUGCAACAGAAAGUAAACCGCCAAUAGCAAUAUUGGUAAGGGUGAAACGGUGGUGUAAGAGACCACCAGUACUGAUAGCAAUAUCAGUAGCUAUGCAAACCCCACUUGGAGCAAGACCACGUAGGCCAGCGCUUGAGAACUGCUCGUUCAAGCUGGUGGGUAGGUUGCUUGAAUCUGUAAGUAAUUACAGAUCUAGAUGGAUGGUGAUCUCGCUAGAAAUAGCAAGACAGAAUCCGGCUUAUAGGGCGACUCUUCUA
rnacentral:RNase_P_RNA from 1 species